AGCGCGGGUGCGAGUCGGAGGGUGCAAGCCCGUGGGCGAAGUGAAAGCGAGUUUAAAAACGAGCAGUUUGGGGCGGCAUAAGAUCGUUGAUCUUAAGACCGACCCGGAGCAGUUGCGCUGGGACCCGAAAGAUGGUGAACUAUGCCGGAGUAGGGCAAAGCCAGAGGAAACUCUGGUGGAGGCUCGUAGCGGUGCUGACGUGCAAAUCGCUCGUCGAACUUGGGUAUAGGGGCGAAAGACUAAUCGAACCAUCUAGUAGCUGGUUCCCUCCGAAGUUUCUCUCAGGAUAGCGGGCCGACAAGUUGUUUUGUGCGGUAAAGCGAAUGAUUAGCGCAUUUGGGGGCGUUUAGCCUUCGGGCGAUUCUCAAACUUUCAAUGCGCAAGGGUGCCGCUGCUUAAUUGAGCGGUACCGGUAAAAACGUCGGCCCUGUGGGCCACUUUUGGUAAGCAGAACUGGCGAUACGGGAUGAACCGUAAGCAAGGUUAAGGCGCCAAACUGCCCGCUUAUAGACCCCACAAAAGGUGUUGAUUCAUCGAGACAGCAGGACGGUGGCCAUGGAAGUCGGAAUCCGCCAAGGAGUGUGUAACAACUCACCUGCCGAAUGAAUUAGCCCUGAAAAUGGAUGGCGCUGAAGCGGGCGGCCGACACCUUGCCGUCUGGACAAGAAUUUCAGAUGAGUAGGAGGGCGUGGCGGUCGUGUCGAAGCACGCGUGCAGACGCUUGUGGAACGACCGCUAGUGCAGAUCUUGGUGGUAGUAGCAAGUAUUCAAGCGAGAUCCUUGAAGGGCGAAGUGGGGAAGGGUUUCACGCGAACAUUGAUUGGGCGUGAGUGAGUCGUUCCUAAGCCGAGUGGCAAUUGCUAAUUAACGGCGAAAGGGAAGCGGGUUGACAUUCCCGCACACGGAUGUGGAGGCGGCGACGCAUUAUUGGGGCGAACACGCUGGCGAUGGCGCUGGGCAGAGUUGUCUUUUCUGUYUGACCGCUUGCGCACGCAGUGUGGAAUCCUCUUAUAGGGAGAAACACGCGUGUACGGGCAGACCG
rnacentral:rRNA from 1 species